AUGGCGAUAAUUGAUGAUAAUUACUCACAACCAAGGACCAAAAAGGCUGCAUUGCUACGAAAACCUUCUUCAUCUGUCUACAAAGAAGUUAGUGAAACAUUUAAUGCCGGACCAUCUGAUUUGGGUUACCUCACAUUCAUAAGGAACUUUGUUCAGGUAUUAUCAUCUCCUCUAGUUGGUAUACUUGUUAUCAACUACGACCACCCGACAAUUCUUGCUAUGGGCACUUUCUGCUGGGCUUUAUCUACAGCUGCUGUGGGCGUUUGCCACGAUUUUCUGCAGGUUGCAUUCUGGAGAGCAAUAAAUGGGUUUGGUUUGGCAAUUGUGAUUCCAGCACUCCAGUCUUUCAUCGCUGAUAGCUACAAGGAUGGAGUGAGAGGAACUGGGUUUGGAUUGCUGAGUCUCAUUGGUAACUUGGGAGGCAUAGGAGGUGGUGUUUUGGCUACUGUCAUGGCUGGCCAACAGUUUUGGGGCAUACAAGGAUGGCGAUGCCCCUUCAUUUUGAUGGCAACUUUGAGCGCAUUAAUUGGAUUCCUUGUUUUACUAUACGUUGUUGACUCAAGAAAAAGAUUUCCCACCACUCCUGAUGCUAGUGAGAGUUCAGACAGGGGUGACUCUAUCUAUAAAGGCAAUGCUAGUGCAACAUCAGUUUGGAUGGACUCUUGGGCAGCCACGAAAGCUGUGAUCAAAGUGAAAACAUUUCAAAUAAUUGGCUUACAAGUCAUUAUUGGGUCUCUGCCGUGGACUGCCAUGGUGUUCUUCACAAUGUGGUUCGAACUGAUUGGUUUUGAUAACAAUACUUCAGCAACCCUCUUGAGUCUCUUUGCUAUUGGAUGUGCAAUGGGGUCCUUCAGUGUUGGAUCAAUAGCUGAUAAACUAUCGCAAGUCUACCCUCAUUCUGCUCGUACCAUGUGCGCACAAUUCAGUGCCUUUAUGGGCAUUCCAUUUUCAUGGUUUCUUCUUAGGUGAUCCCUCCGCCAGUAAGUAGUUUUCCUACCUUUUCUGUCACCCUCUUUGUAAUGGGUCUAACUACAAGCUGGAACGGUGCGGCUGCAAAUGCUCCUAUGUUUGCUGAGGUUGUCCCCGUAAAACACCGUACCAUGAUUUAUGCAUUUGAUCGAGCUUUUGAAGGCUCGUUUUCUUCGAUUGUGGCUCCUCUGGUCGGGAUUCUUUCUGAGAAGGUGCUUGACUAUAAUUCAAAGUCUGUUGAUCCCAUCAAAGGAUCUUCACCAGAGGCUCUUGCCUUGUCGAAGGGCCUUCUGUCCAUGAUGGCUGUUCCAUUUGGUUUGUGUUGUUUAUGCUAUGCCCCUCUAUAUUACAUAUUUAGGCGGGACCGUGAAAAUGCUAGAAUGCUUGCCCUGAAAGAGGAGGAGAUGAUGUGAGAGACACAUGUAAAAGGAGCCCUCUAGCUCUACUCUGUUUGUGAAUUGGGUAAUUGGAGUUUAAAGCUCCGAAAACACGUGAUAUCAUCUUCCCCAGUACACACUAAACUUUUGAAACCAACUUCGAACAAUGACCUCAUUUGGUUUUUUAUUUGAAGAAUCCAGGUUAACCAUGCAAUCAUGGUUCCGUCAUGGCUAGGCUGCUUAUUACCCGAGGAUUGAACUCAUUCUGACUUCUGAGCCAUUUCUUGAGAUGGCAUAUCUAACUGAAUGGGUCGGAAAUAUCAGGAUAUUUAGGAUAACGAAGCUCAGGCUCAUACUGUUCUGUGGCGAGAUCAUUUUGUUUUCAUACGAUUAUUGUACACUAUAAAAUACACAGGUAAAUUUGCAUGUUUGGUUCAAAACCUCAACUACACGGAACAACAGUGCUAAUCAAGUAUUUCUGAAUAACUUCAAUUUUUCGGCCGAUGAUUAAGGUCAAUUAAUCCCUACUAAAAAGCACACAACCCCUGUAUUCAACCUUACCCUAACUGCAUUCGGACAAAAAAAUUUAAAAUCCAAAAUUUGAAGAAUAUUAAACACUUUCAACUUUAUUCGUGCGUAGACUGUAAACAUAAUACGCUAGCAUUGACAGCUGAAGUGGCUUUUAUACGCCUGUGUCUCUAGAAACAAGUUCCCAAUAACGGACCUAGCUAAUUUGUUUUUGUUUCUAGGCUUCUCAGAGGUUAGAGUGAGAGGGAGAGGAGCCGGAAAUGAUCAUAAAGUGCAUGGAAGCAUUGGACCCACCCAAAAAUAAUGCAAGGGAAUCAAAACACCAACAUUGACAGCUGAACUCAUUUUUCUGCUUGGUCCACUUUAGAAUUAAACGUUAACAUUCAAUUAAAGCACAGGUUACAAGAACAUUCCACUUGUUUGGCUUUUAGACGCGCUUGGUGGUCUUAGGAACUUGGCCUGUCGCUCCACCAA